UACGUAAGGGGCAAGCGUUGUCCGGAAUCACUGGGCGUAAAGCGCACGUAGGCGGUGUAGCAAGUUGGGGGUGCAAGCUCCGGGCUUAACCCGGAAACUGCCUCCAAAACUACUAUGCUUGAGAGUCAAAGGGGAAGCUGGAAUUCCCGGUGUAGUGGUGAAAUGCGUAGAUAUCGGGAGGAACACCAGUGGCGAAGGCGACUACCUGGCCUGUUCUUGACGCUGAGGCGCGAAAGCUAGGGGAGCAAACGGG
rnacentral:rRNA from 1 species